GACAGAGGGACCUAGCGUUGUUCGGAAUGACUGGGCGUAAAGGGUGCGUAGGUGGUUAUAUAAGUAGAGUGUAAAAGCCCUAGGCUUAACCUAGGAACCGCAUUCUAUACUGGAUAACUCGAGUGUGGGAGAGGAAAGUGGAAUUCCUAGUGUAGAGGUGGAAUUCGUAGAUAUUAGGAGGAACACCAGAGGCGAAGGCGACUUUCUGGCCCACAACUGACACUGAGGCACGAAAGCGUGGGGAGCAAACAGG
rnacentral:misc_RNA from 1 species